GGCUGGAAUGCAAUGGCGUGAUCUCGGCUCACUGCAACCUCCGCCUCUUGGGUUCAAGCGAUUCUCCUGCCUCAGCCUCCCGAAUAGCUGGGACUAUAGGUGUGCGCCACCACGCCCAGCUAAUUUUUAUAUUUUUAAUAGAGAUGGGGUUUCACCAUGUUGGCGAGGCUGGUCUUGAUCUCUUGACCUCGUGAUCCCCCUGGCUGGGGAAAGCUGUACAUGGCCUGGUGGAAAGGAAAUGGUCAGGGUGCAUUUGCACGGGUAGAACUUUGUGGACAAGACGGUGAAGUGUCAAGCAGGCAGAAUGCAGGCAACCAGGCCUUCACGGUCCAGUGGGAACUGAAAGAAUCCUCUACAGAACUGAGCCAGUUGUGUCAGUUUUCUAUUGUGGAAAAACAAAUCACUCUCAAACUUAUUCACCCCAAACCUCAACGACAUCAUGAUUCCAAUUGGUCUGUUCGACCUAAGUGAGCAUCUCCUCUUCCCUGUAUGUUGCUCCCUAGUAUGAUUCACAUGCUUGCCUUCAGCUGAGAGCCAGGCCGAGGCUGGAACAUUCACAGUGGCCUUGCUCACAUGUCCAGCAGUUGGUGCUGGCUAUGGACAGGGACAUCUCUGGUCUCCUCCACACAGCCUCUCAUCCUCCAGGGUCUCUCUCCACAUGGUCUCUCCAACAGGAAAAUCCACACUUCUUUACACAGAGGCUGACUUUUGAGAUGCUGAAAACAGAAGUUAUAAUACCUGUGAAGCCUAGGACCAGAAGACAUACAGUGUAAUUUCCAACCCAUUUUACUUGUCCAAGAAAGGUACAAAACCAGCUCAGAUUCAAGAUUCUGCCGAUUGAUGGGAAGAGUGGCACAGUCACAUUGUAAGUGGGUGACCUUUGGACACCAGUCUAAGAGGAAAGACCUAACAAUAUUGAUACCAGGGGUUCCCUAAGGAAUUAGCUCAGCCAUAUUACCCACAACAAAGCCUGCUGUCAACCACCGCCCCCACCCACUCACACAUACACAUACAGAGUUUCCAAGGAUUUUAGUGCUCCACUUGUAAAGAGGGCAUUCAACCAAAAUACUGGACAUCUGAAGAAAACUUCUAACAUGAAAGAUAGAAACACAAACAAUCAUUAAAGAACAAGUUAGAGGAAAUAAAUUAUAAGGGGAAAAGGACUUUUUUUUUUUUUUUUGAGACGGAGUCUUGCUCUGUCACCCAGGCUGGAGUGCAGUGGCAUGAUCUCGGCUCACUGCAACCUCCACCUCCUAGGUUCAAGCCAUUCUCCUGCCUCAGCCUCCCCAGUAGCUGGGAUUACAGGUGGGCACUACCACACACACAG
rnacentral:lncRNA from 1 species